rnacentral:rRNA from 1 species
UACGUAGGGUGCGAGCGUUGUCCGGAAUUAUUGGGCGUAAAGAGCUCGUAGGCGGUGUGUCACGUCGGCCGUGAAAACCUGCAGCUUAACUGUGGGCGUGCGGUCGAUACGGGCAGGCUAGAGUUCGGUAGGGGAGAUCGGAAUUCCUGGUGUAGCGGUGAAAUGCGCAGAUAUCAGGAGGAACACCGGUGGCGAAGGCGGAUCUCUGGGCCGAUACUGACGCUGAGGAGCGAAAGCGUGGGGAGCGAACAGG